rnacentral:rRNA from 1 species
UGGGGAAUUUUGCACAAUGGGGGAAACCCUGAUGCAGCGACGCCGCGUGAUUUAGAAGGCCUUCGGGUUGUAAAAAUCUUUUUUACGGGAUGAAAAUGACAGUACCGUAAGAAUAAGGUCCGGCUAAAUACGUGCCAGCAGCCGCGGUAAUACGUAUGGACCGAGCGUUGUCCGGAAUCAUUGGGCGUAAAGGGUACGUAGGCGGCCUAGUAAGUUAGAAGUGAAAUAAUAUAGCUCAACUAUAUAAAGCUUUUAAAACUGCUAGGCUUGAGAGAUGGAAGGGAAAGUGGAAUUCCUAGUUUAGCGGUGAAAUGCGCAGAUAUUAGGAAGAAUACCGGUGGCGAAGGCGACUUUCUGGUCAUCAUCUGACGCUGAGGUACGAAAGCGUGGGUAGCAAACAGG